rnacentral:rRNA from 1 species
CAGUAGCCGCGGUAAUACGAAGGGUGCAAGCGUUAAUCGGAAUUACUGGGCGUAAGGCGUGCGUAGGCGGUUUGUUAAGUCUGUUGUGAAAUCCCCGGGCUCAACCUGGGAAUGGCAAUGGAUACUGGCAAGCUAGAGUGUGUCAGAGGAUGGUGGAAUUCCCGGUGUAGCGGUGAAAUGCGUAGAGAUCGGGAGGAACAUCAGUGGCGAAGGCGGCCAUCUGGGACAACACUGACGCUGAGGCACGAAAGCGUGGGGAGCAAACAGGAUUAGAUACCCCAGUAGUCCCUGUCUCUUAUAC